rnacentral:misc_RNA from 1 species
GAAAUGCGAUAAGUAGUGUGAAUUGCAGAAUUCAGUGAAUCAUCGAAUCUUUGAACGCACAUUGCGCCCUUUGGUAUUCCUUAGGGCAUGCCUGUUCGAGCGUCAUCUAAACCCUCAAGCCCUGCUUGGUGUUGGGUGCCUGUCCCGCCCCCGUGCGCGGACUCACCUCAAAUCCAUUGGCGGCCCUCGUGCCGGCCCGAGCGCAGCAGAAACGCGGUCUCGUGGCCCGGCGGAGCGUGCCCCCAGAAGCAACAUUCACCGUUUUGACCUCGGAUCGGGUAGGGAUACCCGCUGAACUUAAGC